rnacentral:rRNA from 1 species
UACGUAGGGUGCAAGCGUUGUCCGGAAUUAUUGGGCGUAAAGAGCUCGUAGGCGGUCUGUCGCGUCUGCUGUGAAAACUCAGGGCUUAACCCUGAGCUUGCAGUGGGUACGGGCAGACUAGAGUGCGGUAGGGGAGACUGGAAUUCCUGGUGUAGCGGUGAAAUGCGCAGAUAGUCAGGAGGAACACCGGUGGCGAAGGCGGGUCUCUGGGCCGUAACUGACGCUGGAGGAGCGAAAGCAUGGGGAGCGAACAGG